UACAGAGAGUGCAAACGUUGUUCGGAAUUACUGGGCUUAAAGCGCACGUAGGCUGUGUCGUAAGUGUCGAGUGAAAUCCCACGGCUUACCCGUGGAACUGCUCGGCAUACUGCGAUACUAGAGUAUGGUAGGGGAGAGCGGAACUCCUGGUGGAGCGGUGAAAUGCGUAGAUAUCAGGAGGAACACCGGUGGCGAAGGCGGCUCUCUGGUCCAUGUCUGACGCUGAGGUGCGAAAGCUAGGGGAGCAAACGGG
rnacentral:rRNA from 1 species